rnacentral:rRNA from 1 species
AGAGUUUGAUCCUGGCUCAGAACGAACGCUGGCGGCGUGCUUAACACAUGCAAGUCGAACGAGAAUCGGGGCUUGCUCCGAGGAUAGUGGCGCACGGGUGAGUAACGCGUGGAUAACCUGCCCUGGUAUCUGGGAUAACAUCUCGAAAGGGGUGCUAAUACCGGAUAAGCCCACGGGAACUUUGGUUCUUGCGGGAAAAGGUGGCCUCUGAAUAUGCUACUGUAUCAGGAUGGGUCCGCGUACCAUUAGCUAGUUGGUGGUGUAAUGGACUACCAAGGCGACGAUGGUUAGCUGGUCUGAGAGGAUGAUCAGCCACACUGGAACUGAGACACGGUCCAGACUCCUACGGGAGGCAGCAGUGGGG